CAUUGUUUAUUUACAUUUUUUUGGUUACAUCGUUUUAGUUUCAUUUGGAUUUUGAUCCUUUUUUUUUAAAUGCAUGUAAAACAAACAGUUUUUGUUCUUAAUGAUUAUUGGAUACUUGUGUAACAUCUCUAUGUGUGAAUACGAUCAGCUGAUGAGUUGUAUGUAAAGUGAAAAACAAGGAAAUAAAAAUCGGGGCAUAACCUACUGGAAAAAUGUAUGAAACAUUUACCACAAUUUUUCAAAAAAUUUAAAUUGGAAUCCUUGUUAAUUGGUUAAUUUCACGUUUACGAAUGCACAAAGGUCAAUGAAAUUUGAUUACAGCAGCAUGGAUAUAAAACCAGACAGUUAAGGUGAUAAUUAAGAAUAGAAUAAUCAAUUUGAACCAAAACUUUUGUAUAAAAUAUUUCUUUUAUUGAAAGGUUAAUUUAUUGACACACUGUAUAUUAUAUCAGUCAGUCUUUAUAUUUACAUAGUCUGACAAUGAGAAAACAACGUGGAUUCGAAGACAUUUUAACAAAUUUCAUUUACACAGUGAGACAAUAAAUUAACGAUCAACAAUAAGAAAACAACGUGGAUUCCAAGACAUUUUCACUUGUUUUCUUUAAAGAUUGAUUUUUAAUCAUUUUAACUUGAAAUAUUCAGUCUUUAAACUAAAAAAAUUAUGUUGUUUAUAGUUUUAAGUGAAUAUGUGUAAGUCAAAUUCUUUAAACCUCCCAAGCCAAUCUUGUAGAUCCAUUUUUUUUGUAAAUUGGAAUUUUAUGAUUAAAUCGGUAAAAUUGUUAUUGAUGGCAAGAACUUAUUAAAACUUUGUGGAUAUUGUAUAAAAACAUUCUUCUGAAGUAUUUAUUCGUUAAUUAUAAUCAAUAAAAAUAUGUCAUUUGAUUUUUUAAAUUAAUAAAAUGCAAAACAAUUAAAUGCAACAAACUUGUGAAGUGAAUAUGAAGGUUUUUUUUUUCGUAAUAACAAUGGAUACAAAAUAAUGAACUACUAGUUUGGAUGUAAAGUUUGAAUUCCUGGAACUGUUAGUUAAAACUCAUACUGAAUACUUAAAGUAGAUAAAAAGGACAAGUCACUGCAAUUGUGGUAUUGCAGUUGUAAUAAAUUACACCCCUAUUUAAUCCACUUAUUAGGCCAAAAAUUAUAUAGAAAGUUCAAAAUCAGCCCUUUUAGCACUGUAAAUAACAACUUCAAUAUAAAUCUAAUCAAGGUGAUAACUUUGAUAUUUCAGUGUCAUAAAUGGUGUAUUUAUGUCAUAUUGUUUACUAUCUUUUCAUAUCUCAAAAAAAUGAGUUAUAAUAAAAUUUGAUCGAUUUUAA